UCUGGGCGUAAGCGUGCGCACGGCGGUUGUGCAAGACCGAUGUGAAAUCCCCGGGCUUAACCUGGGAAUUGCAUUGGUGACUGCACGGCUAGAGUGUGUCAGAGGGGGGUAGAAUUCCACGUGUAGCAGUGAAAUGCGUAGAGAUGUGGAGGAAUACCGAUGGCGAAGGCAGCCCCCUGGGAUAACACUGACGCUCAUGCACGAAAGCGUGGGGAGCAAACAGGAUUAGAUACCCUGGUAGUCCACGCCCUAAACGAUGUCAACUAGUUGUUGGGGAUUCAUUUCCUUAGUAACGUAGCUAACGCGUGAAGUUGACCGCCUGGGGAGUACGGUCGCAAGAUUA
rnacentral:rRNA from 1 species